rnacentral:rRNA from 1 species
GACGAACGCUGGCGGCGUGCCUAAUACAUGCAAGUCGUGCGGACCUUGUUGAAAGCUUGCUUUUAAAAGGUUAGCGGCGGACGGGUGAGUAACACGUGGGCAACCUGCCUGUAAGACUGGGAUAACGCCGGGAAACCGGGGCUAAUACCAGAUCGUUUUUUCCUCCGCAUGGAGGAAAAAGGAAAGGCGGCUUCGGCUGCCACUUACAGAUGGGCCCGCGGCGCAUUAGCUAGUUGGCGGGGUAAUGGCCCACCAAGGCAACGAUGCGUAGCCGACCUGAGAGGGUGAUCGGCCACAUUGGGACUGAGACACGGCCCAAACCCCUACGGGAGGCAGCAGUAGGGAAUCUUCCGCAAUGGACGAAAGUCUGACGGAGCAACGCCGCGUGAGUGAAGAAGGCCUUCGGGUCGUAAAACUCUGUUGCCGGGGAAGAACAAGUGCCGUUCGAACAGGGCGGCGCCUUGACGGUACCCGGCCAGAAAGCCACGGCUAACUACGUG